AUCAUUGAUGGGCAUUUAGGUUGAUUCCAUGUCUUUGCUAUUGUGAAUAGUGCUGCGAUGAACAUACACAUGCAUGUGUCUUUAUAAUAGAAUAAUUCAUGUCCCUUUGGGUAUAUACUCAGUAAUGGGAUUGCUGGGUCAAAUGGAAUUUCUGUCUUUAGAUCUUCGAGGAACUGCCACAUUGUCUUCCACAAUUAGCCAGCUUUUUAACACACACACAUAUACAUAUAUACACAUAUAUGUAUACAUAUAUGUAUAUAUACUAUGUAGAAAAAUAAACGGAUAGAUGUUGGAUGUUUACGAAGUGUCACCGGUAGACAUCUCUGAGUAUCAUGGAUUUGAGAUUCUUCUCUAAAAGCAUUCCUUAUCUCGUAUGUCCACUCUGUCUAGCCCAGUCCCUUAAUGGUCA
rnacentral:lncRNA from 1 species